ensembl:misc_RNA Metazoa_SRP Metazoan signal recognition particle RNA
GCUGGGCAUGGUGGCGCAUGCCUGUAAUCCCAGCUACUCAGGAGGCUGAGGCGGGAGAAUUGCCUGAACCCAGGAGGUGGAGGUUGCGGUGAGCCGAGAUUGCGCCAUUGCACUCCCGCCUGGGUAACAAGAGCGAAACUCCGUCUCAA